rnacentral:lncRNA from 1 species
UUAUCAAUUAACUAUUAAUUAUGAAAUCAAUCCUACCAAGAUCAAUAUGUAACAAAUCACUAAUCAUGAUUGAAAUCAAUUAAUUCUAAAAGAGUAAGAAACAAAUGACAAUUACAACAUUUGUUUAUUUCCUAAUUAUUUUAUCAAAGAAAAAAAAUUACAAAAGCAUAAAAAAGAAUGUAAAAAAAAGGCAAAAAUACAAUAAAACAAAAUGGGGGUUCAUUGUUGGAAAAUAGAGUGUGAACAGAUUU